GACGAACGCUGGCGGCGUGCUUAACACAUGCAAGUCGAACGGAAAGGCCCUGCGUUUGUGGGGUUCUCGAGUGGCGAACGGGUGAGUAACACGUGAGUAACCUGCCCUUGACUUUGGGAUAACUUCAGGAAACUGGGGCUAAUACCGGAUAGGAGCUCCUGCUGCAUGGUGGGGGUUGGAAAGUUUCGGCGGUUGGGGAUGGACUCGCGGCUUAUCAGCUUGUUGGUGGGGUAGUGGCUUACCAAGGCUUUGACGGGUAGCCGGCCUGAGAGGGUGACCGGCCACAUUGGGACUGAGAUACGGCCCAGACUCCUACGGGAGGCAGAAGUGGGAAAUAUUGCACAAUGGGCGGAAGCCUGAUGCAGCAACGCCGCGUGCGGGAUGACGGCCUUCGGGUUGUAAACCGCUUUCGCCUGUGACGAAGCGUGAGUGACGGUACUGGGUAAAGAAGCACCGGCUAACUACGUG
rnacentral:rRNA from 1 species